AUGGUCCUGAUUUUCCUGGCAGCACUGGUGGGACUGGCAGACUUUGGUCAUGCCCAAAAGGACUCUGUGCUCCCGUUUCCAGCAGAAAUGACCGUCCAGGCAGGACACAGCACAGCUCUGCACUGCAAUUUCUCCACCAGCUAUGCCAAUCCCUACAUCUUCUGGUACCAGCAGCGCCAGAGCCAGCCCCCUCAGAUGCUGCUGCGGGUGGACAAAUGGAAAUCUCAGGCGGGUUCAGGGAGGUUCUCCUCUGCACUGUCUGCGGAGACCUCCCAGGUGCUUCUGAACAUGCGGGAUGCCGAGCUCCAGGACAGCGCUGCCUAUUUCUGUGCACUGAGCCCACACUGGUGCCCACAGCAUGCAGCACUGCACAGAAACGGAAACCACCAGUGCUCAGCUGGGAGGAACCCCUAUGUCCCUGAGUCCAUGCUGGUUUCUCUGUCCAACAGCAGGUAA